GAUGAACGCUAGCGCUAGGCUUAACACAUGCAAGUCGAGGGGCAGCAUGGUCUUAGCUUGCUAAGACUGAUGGCGACCGGCGCACGGGUGCGUAACGCGUAUGCAACUUGCCUCACAGAGGGGGAUAACCCGUCGAAAGACGGACUAAUACCGCGUACACUUGGGAUAGGGCAUCCUGACCCAAGGAAAUGAAAUUCGCUGUGAGAUAGGCAUGCGUCCCAUUAGCUAGUUGGUGAGGUAACGGCUCACCAAGGCGACGAUGGGUAGGGGAACUGAGAGGUUGAACCCCCACACUGGUACUGAGACACGGACCAGACUCCUACGGGAGGCAGCAGUGAGGAAUAUUGGUCAAUGGGCGAGAGCCUGAACCAGCCAAGUCGCGUGAAGGAUGACUGUCUUAUGGAUUGUAAACUUCUUUUAUACGGGAAUAACAAGAGCCACGUGUGGCUCCCUGCAUGUACCGGAUGAAUAAGCAUCGGCUAACUCCGUG
rnacentral:rRNA from 1 species